CAGUCGCCACGGUAAUACGUAGGGUGCAAGCGUUGUCCGGAAUUAUUGGGCGUAAAGAGCUCGUAGGCGGCUCGUCGCGUCGGCUGUGAAAACCUGGGGCUCAACCCCGGGCCUGCAGCCGAUACGGGCGAGCUAGAAUUCAGUAGGGGAGACUGGAAUUCCUGGUGUAGCGGUGAAAUGCGCAGAUAUCAGGAGGAACACCGGUGGCGAAGGCGGGUCUCUGGGCCGAUAUUGACGCUGAGGAGCGAAAGCGUGGGGAGCAAACAGGAUUAGAUACCCCCGUAGUCCCUGUCUCUUAUAC
rnacentral:rRNA from 1 species